GCUAGCGUAGCUCAAUUGGUAGAGCUCCUGUCUUGUAAACAGGGGGUUAUGGGUUCGAGUCCCAUCGCUAGCUCCA
rnacentral:tRNA from 1 species